GCUUAACCAGGUAGCGUCGCCGUGAGCUCCGGGAAACUUGAGCCGAGUCUUCACGACUUAAACCUAUUGAGUUGAUUUUUGGGGUUCUUCGCCUCCUCGUUGGGUGUCUAGUCAAGCCGAGCUAAUUCGCAUCUUUUUCCAAGCAAACAUCGAAGAGUUGGUCUCUCUGUGAGAGGAGGGAAGAGGAAGACAUAUCAAUGAGGCAGCAGUCAGCAGCCACAGCCAGGCAACAUGAUGCCUCUUUCUGGCUCACUUGACCACACCUGGGAAGGACAGGGCCUGCAGCCCUGGUGUAUAAUGCUGAUGAUUAACUAAAUAGAGGCUGCAGCAGUCUGUGAGAGCAGGGCGGCUUAGCUUUCUCACUUCAUGGGCCUGACUGACCGGGAAGAAGCUGAAGUGUUCGCAGGCGCUGGCUGCUAAAAAUUCUAGAUCUUUUCCUUUUCACCCCCCACCCCCCUUUACUCACUUUGUUUUGUUGCAUUCUUUCCUUUUGGGUUCCUUUUCACAACGGUAAGGUUACAGGUACAUUCUCCACCUCUCUUCACUGCCUGUUCUUUUCCCUCCCUUCUGCUCUCUCUCUCUCUACCUUUCUCAUUCACUCACACUCUUCCAUUUAGCUCAUUUGCAGGAUGACGGGAAACCUAUUCUUUCCCUCUGAACACAGGAUUGUCUUGAUUCUAGUUUUGUUUCAGGUUUAGAGAAAAAAAUAGCAAAAAAAUAGUUAACAUUAAUAGAUAUCAAUAUUAGUGUAACUAUUGCUGACUUACUGUACCAAGUCUCAAUAAAAUGACAUACAUUGUGCUACCUGUGCUACCAUCUUCAGGGACAUGAAAUGUGAAUACGGAACAACAACCCCAAGGCCUUGUUGCUUUAGCAGUGGGUUUUGUCGAGAAUGGAUGUUAAUAAUGCAGUGGUCAAAAAAAUACCCAAUUGUCAUACUUGAGUAAAAGUAAAGAUACAUGAAUAGAAAAGGACUGAAGUGAAAGUCACCCAGCAAAAUACUACUUGAGUAAAAGUCUAAAAGUAUUUGGUUUUAAAUACACUGAAGUAUAUUUAUUUAAGGAUUGCCAGGGGCAAAAUCCAACACUCAGACAUUAUUUACAAACAAAGCAUUUGUGUUGAGUGAGUCCGCCAGAUCAGAGGCAGUAGGGAUGACCAGGGAUAAUAUAUAUAUAUAUAUAUAAUUUUCAGAAUGAGGGGGAAAAGCAGCCUUACCAUUUCGUAGAACCAGACCAGUCAGAACAGGUUUGGCCAAUCAUUAACAUCCACUGUGGCCCACUCUCCUCUGGCAGAACCUAACCUACAGUCCCUACUAGAACAAAGUCUGCCGUACAACAAGUUGUAUUUUUUUGUUUCAAGGCAAGUUUCAAAUACGUUGUUUCCCCCCACUUCAUCUCUUGUUUAAGACCUGGGGGUUAGGUGAUAAAUUGAACUUGCUAUUGUUAGUUUGAGUUUGAGAUAGUAGAGUCCACCCAUAGUAGAGUCCACCCAAGGCCACAAUUUGUUGAGUUAACUGAAGUGGAGUUCUAAUGGAUAUUGAUGAUGAGUUGCAUGUGUGCCUGAGGAGGAGGUAUACUUGAUUUUAUAUUAUUAUAGUUUCUCCUUUCUGUGGUAAAUGCAGAUGUAGCUUUAGAGAUGUGAAAGACAGGCCUUAUAAUGAUCAUUUGCAUUACCAGUCAGGGUUGCCUACUGUUUAGUACACCUCUUUCUUUUCAUAGUGGAAUGUUCCUGAAGUCUCAGUUAUGCACAUAGAUGGGGCUUAUCCCCACACAAACCUACCCAAAGCAAGGUUAGGCUUUUAUCAAGUUUUUGUCAGUGAAAACCAGGAGAUAACACAACACAUUGAACAAAAUGAACCUGUAUUGUAAAAUGCUUAGACGAAAAUAUUAUUACUGCGAUCCGUACACUUAUUGUGAUCUGUAAAAUAAUCACUUUUAUGACCCAUUGUUUGUCUCCUAUGUAUGUAUUGGAUGGUCAUCCCCAUCUUACAAGGCAGCAUUGGAUAUCAUCAAUCUCUCUAAUACUGCCUGGUAAUGAUGAUGCUAGCCAUCCGCUAACUACAGUGAUAUACCACACAACUUACAACGUUAGCUAGCUACAUAAGCACACUUUACCAUAGCUUGGCGGCCAUUUUUUUUCUCAAUGAAAUGCUCUGGUUUACGCUGAAAUGGCUUUCAGGAUCCAUCUUACCUGACAGUGCUGGAUUGUACAAAAAAGUUCUAACACUGUCUGGUAACGAUGUUUCCUGGGUGACCCACCUACCUCCAGAGAUACACCUCAGCUAAGGAUGUGCUUAAAGGGUCAGGUGUUUGAUGUCUGAUAUUGUCACUGAUAAGAAGACUUGGUUUAGGAUUGCAUCUAUCUGUAAGAGAUUGUCUUAAAUCUUCAUCUAUUGACACGCCUUUAUUCCGCUAGCUAAAACUAUACAUCUGAAAGAAGCUCCAUUUUACCUCAUCAUUUAUUUGUAGAAAAGAUAGGCCUAUGAAGUGCUUAUUUUGUAAAUUGUAUUGGGAAACUAUUUGGCAAUCCAAGUAAUUGAAAUAUCUCAGUGUUCCUCAGUUAAGAAUCAAUUCAAAGAAAUGGAGAAGAUUAGAGGCACGACUGGCAAUGGCCUUUCCCUGGGGAACAAGUAGAGGAGACCCAGCAUUUGUAAUUCAACUUCCCUGUCCUGUUCUAGGGUGGCCCCACCCAACCUGUGUUAAAGAAUACAGGUCGGUUGACGGUUCAACCGGUCGCACCGCCACUCAUUUUCGUAUCACCUCCCCUCUGUAGAGUGUGGCUUGUGUUGUGUCACCGUGAUUGGUCCAGCACCGCUUAUCUACAUGCCACAUCCUGAAACUGACAGAAGCUCACCUGAGCACUUAUGAUAAAAAUAGACUCAGCAACAUCCUCCUUGACUCCUUACCACUCCCCUUCAGCCUCACCUCUCUCUCAUCCCUUCAUAUGAAUGAUUACUCUUUUUUUUAUCACAGCUAAAUAUAUCCCACAGCUCUAUCUGUAGUGCCUUUUGUUGUUUUACAAGGCUUCAUUGGAGAACCUUUGUUCCAAUUAGAAUUUUAGAAUUCUGUUGAAUUUGUUUCAUAAACAAAUGAUAAAUAGCCAUAGACUUAAAUGAGUUGAUCCUUUAUGGCAAACUACUACCCCGUUCCAUGUCGUCUUCCAGGAAGAAAAAUACAUCCCAAUUUAAUAGGUAAAGCCUUCAAACAGACAGCACAGACAUUGGCAAAUAAUAAAAGGAGCUGGCAGAGCCUAAAUGUUUGUUUAAGGAGGGAGAAUUACCUCGCAAAUAUUGAACCAUACCUUUAUUGGCUCACCUUCGGUUGUUUGCCUUUAUUUAUGACAUAGACACACGGAAUGGUUCAAUGUUUUUUCCCUUUUCACCCCCUCUCCUUUCCAAACGGUUAAAAAGACAAUUUGAUGUUGUACUGAACCCAAAUGUGGCAUAUUUAUUUAAUUUGCGGUGAGAGGGCACCACAUUUUGAUGUGAACUUUCAACCAACAGGAUCUAGUUUGUCUUUAUUCAUGGCAAAUCAUUGUAAAUGUACUCCAUAUAACAUAGUCUUUGAGAAUAUGAAGACGAUAGAGUAGUAUCCCUGUCUGUGUGUGAGACAGACAAACAGACGAACAGACAGACAGACAUACUGUAUCUUUUCAGCUCUUUUCAGUCUCUUCCUGUAUCUCAUCCUGUCUCUUUCAGCUGUCUCCCUCUGCGUACAGUGGACGGUUGGUUCAGAGGGCGUCCUUCAGUCCUAGCUCCCUAGCCUGUUGAUUGGCGUCUUACCAGACAUGGUUAGAUCUAAAUAUCCCUGUCUAAUACUGUCUGGUAAUGCCGUCCAUUGAAUGGCGUUUACUUCUCUUUUUCCUCUCCCCUUCUUGUACAGAAGUUUGAGCAUGGCCGUCAGAUUUCUUGGUGUGUCUGACCUCUUAGGCUUCUUCUAUGUUAAUGUGUGUAUACAGUGUGUUUGUGUGUGUAUAUGACCAGUGCAUAGACACAUUGGUUGAAGUGACAGAUGGAUUGGGGUGUAUUCACUAUGGUCAUGAAGAUAAUGACAAUACAGGAACUAUGAACCUUGCACUGGAAGAUUGAUUCAGUUGUCAGUGCUCUUCCAUGUGCCAUGUGUCAGAGUUUAUUCCUUAAGCAACGGCCCAGGAUGGGCAAAGAAAUACAGCAUUUUGGGAUAUACACAUAUGUGAUGCCAUAAGUAAUUAAAAUGCUUUAAGGUGCUUUUAAAUCUCGCUCUGUCUCUCUCUCUCUCUGUGUGUGUGUGUUCAUAAAUAUACUGUAUCAAAUAUUUUAUAUUUAAACGGAUGUAAUAUUAUCUUCAUGUAAUAAAGCAUUUAGAACAGCAUUUAUUCGACUUUUAAAAGAAAGAUUUGUGUGCUCGUCACGGUGUCAUGGUUACUAAAUUCCAAAUAGGAACAUUGUCGGGAAUUUGACAUUUCUCCAGGUACAGUAAAUUAAAAAACUAUAAAUGAAUCCAUUAUUGAUCUAAUUGAUCUAUAAAUACUGUCUAUACUACAGCCAAGCGAUAGAUACACAUAUAUAUUUUCACCAACGUUAUGUAAUAUGACAUGACAAUAUCAAAUAAACUUGAAAUAAAACAA